rnacentral:rRNA from 1 species
AGGACGAACGCUGGCGGCGUGCUUAACACAUGCAAGUCGAGCGGAAAGGCCCUUCGGGGUACUCGAGCGGCGAACGGGUGAGUAACACGUGAGCAACCUGCCCUUAGCUUCGGGAUAGCUCCGGGAAACCGGAAUUAAUACCGGAUAUGACUAUGGCCGACAUCAGCCAUGGUGGAAAGUUUUUCGGCUAGGGAUGGACUCGCGGCCUAUCAGCUAGUUGGUGAGGUAACGGCUCACCAGGGCGACGAUCGGUAGCUGGUCUGAGAGGACGAUCAGCCACACUGGGAUUGAGAACGGCCCAGACUCCUACGGGGGCAGCAGUGAGGAAUUUUCGUCAAUGGGGGCAACCCUGAACGAGCAACGCCGCGUGCAGGAAGAAGGUUUUCGGAUCGUAAACUGCUUUUCUCGGGGAAGAGAACGGACGGUACCCGAGGAAUCAGCCCCGGCUAACUACGUGCCAGCAGCCGC